CUUGAUUGCUUCGGUAAAUUACCGGCGACGUGUCAUGUGCGCGUGUCGGCGACCCGCGCGCUCCUCCGACAUUGAAAUAUAUUCGACACACGCUAAUUGAUGGCCGAGAACAAAGCGUGUUAAUAACGUAAAGUGCGAGCGGCGUAGAAUGCUAAAAGAAGAAAUAUGGCUCGCGCAGCAACGACCCCAUCUCAGAGAUGGAAUCUCAAGGUCCUGCCCGCGGUAACACGCUUUACCGACGUCUAUCUGUACGAGUGUCUUCGAACGUUUCUACCGCUCUUGUUUUAUGGCUUCGAUUCUGAAAUGUAUUAUAAUAAAGUUUAUAUAUAGCGUAUAUAUAUGUAGCGAUACACAUGUAAAUAAAAUUUAAAUUUCUGCGCA